rnacentral:lncRNA from 1 species
AAGGGGAGAGCUAAAAAAUUACAACAUGCCUUCUAACUUUUUAUCCAAGUGUAGAUCAAUGAGAAAGAUGGGUUUGGACCCAUUGAAGAAGCCUAAGAAAAGAAGACAACAUGGCUAUUAACCUAAGGGUAUAAUAGUGUAUACUAUUCACCCCAAGUACAAGAGGGAAAUAAAGAAAAGGGAGAAAUUCUGAAAGACAUGAAAAAGAAAAAUUACCAUAGAAUUUUGUUUCCUAAUCAUUUG